rnacentral:piRNA from 1 species
UCNGAUGUCCCUACUAACUUGAUGGCGAUG